UACGUAGGGUCCGAGCGUUUUCCGGAAUUACUGGGCGUAAAGAGCUCGUAGGUGGUUUGUCGCGUUGUCCGUGAAAACUCACAGCUUAACUGUGGGCGUGCGGGCGAUACGGGCAGACUAGAGUACUGCAGGGGAGACUGGAAUUCCUGGUGUAGCGGUGGAAUGCGCAGAUAUCAGGAGGAACACCGGUGGCGAAGGCGGGUCUCUGGGCAGUAACUGACGCUGAGGAGCGAAAGCGUGGGUAGCGAACAGG
rnacentral:rRNA from 1 species